CUACGGGGUGCUGCAGUAAGGAAUAUUGCGCAAUGGAGGCAACUCUGACGCAGCCAUGCCGCGUGCAGGAAGAAGGUCUUAUGGGUCGUAAACUGCUUUUAUUUAGGAAUAAACCCCCGAACGUGUUCGGGGCUGAAGGUACUAAACGAAUAAGCACCGGCUAACUCCGUGCCAGCAGCCGCGGUAAUACGGAGGGUGCAAGCGUUAUCCGGAUUUAUUGGGUUUAAAGGGUGCGCAGGCGGGCUAUUAAGUCAGUGGUGAAAUCCCGGGGCUCAACUCCGGAACUGCCAUUGAUACUGAGAGUCUUGAGUUUGGUUGAAGUGGGCGGAAUGUAGCAUGUAGCGGUGAAAUGCAUAGAUAUGCUACAGAACACCAAUCGCGAAGGCAGCUCACUAAGCCAAAACUGACGCUCAUGCACGAAAGCGUGGGGAUCAAACAGGAUUAGAUACCCUCGUAGUC
rnacentral:rRNA from 1 species